rnacentral:lncRNA from 1 species
ACAGAUCAUGGAGCUGGCUGGGAAAUUCAUCACCUAAUAAUCCUGAAAAUCAGAAAAGAUAAAUCAAAUCUGGUCCAUUGUUUUUGUUUCAAGAGUUAUGUGUUGGUUUUAUAAUUUGGAACUGCCAAAACCCACAUCCUCUCCAAAGACAUAAGAGCUGUCAAAAUGGAACUCAUCUUCAGUUCACUUGAUUGUGUGCAUAACUAAGUCAAAUGGAUUGGUGAGCUAGGAAUGUUCAGAUAAGCAUAUAUAAGUCAUUGCUUUCUCAUACACUAGCUUACAAAAUGAUAAGCAUAUAUAACUGAACGCAUAUAUUUAUUUUUUCUCUAAUUUUAAGAGUGUGUAUUCUACUAGGAACACUAGCAUACUGACAUGGUGUACAUCGAAAAUUAAUGUUGAUAGCCGAACAUAUUAUUUACAGUGAAAAGAAAUGUCAAACAUAUACCUGCACCUAUGAAACAGAAACACAGUACAUAGGAAAAGCUCAGAGAUUCAGUGCAUAAAUAACAUGGACUUGGAAAAAGUUCAGAGAUUCAUAAAUUGUAAGGACAACAAGUAAGCAAAUCUGAGGA